AAUUAAUGAACUUGAAUAAGUUUAUGUUUUGAAAACAUACUAAAGAAGGGUAAUCUUCUAUUAAUUU
rnacentral:tRNA from 1 species